rnacentral:misc_RNA from 1 species
UUUUUUUUUUUUUUUUUUUUUUUUAGCAAUGCAACCCUUAAUUCCAUUCUGCGGCAAUAGUAAGCAGGAGUUCACCAUGACACCAGAAAAAAAGGAAUUUCCUGUGGCCUAUGAUAAAAAUAAGUUCAGAACCUCUUAACACAUUAUUUCAAGUUGCAUAAAUACCACAAAGCCGCAACUUCUGGAGUAACUAACAAAGC